rnacentral:lncRNA from 1 species
GACAGCGAUUCGACUGCACGGUUCACAGGGAGGUUUGUCAGUCUCGUCGAGGGCUUUCCAACAAGCAACUUGGAAAUGAGCGACGGUUGAAGCUCUUCAACAAAUCUCUCCUCAGCCAAAUACAUCUGGUACCUUAAUGGAGGCGACAGCACAGGCUUCUGAUUAGUUCACACAUCACUCACCAAUUAGAAUAGAAGUGCAUUUACAGUCUGCAAACAAGGAUUCAUCAUGGGAAACUGUUUUUAAAGUCAGAAGAUCUUGAUUCAAGUCCAAUUCUGCCCGUUACCAUGUGACCUUGAGUGAAUCUUGUAAUCUCUCUUUUAAAAAUACAGACAGCAACACUUGCCCCCUCCAUUUACGGCAUUACAAGCAUCUGAUGGGAUCACACAUUUGAAAAUAUAUUGUAAAACAU